UACGCAGGGUGCAAGCGUUGUUCGGAUUCAUUGGGUUUAAAGCGCACGUAGGCGGCCUGAUAAGUCAGGGGUGAAAACGCGCGGCUGAACCUGGGACCCGCCAUUGAUACUGAUAGUCUUGAGUGCGACAGAGGGGGUUGGAAUGCGUAGUGUAGAGGUGAAAUUCUUAGAUAUCAGGAAGAACACCAAUUGCGAAGGCAGCUGCCUGUGUCGUAACUGACGCUGAGGCACGAAAGCGUGGGGAGCAAACAGG
rnacentral:rRNA from 1 species